rnacentral:rRNA from 1 species
UUCCCCUAGUAACUGCGAGUGAAGCGGGAAAAGCUCAAAUUUGAAAUCUGGCGGUCUCUGGCCGUCCGAGUUGUAAUCUAGAGAAGUGUUACCCGCGCUGGACCGUGUACAAGUCUCCUGGAAUGGAGCGUCAUAGAGGGUGAGAAUCCCGUCUCUGACACGGACUACCAGGGCUUUGUGGUAUGCUCUCAAAGAGUCGAGUUGUUUGGGAAUGCAGCUCAAAAUGGGUGGUAAAUUCCAUCUAAAGCUAAAUAUUGGCGAGAGACCGAUAGCGAACAAGUACCGUGAGGGAAAGAUGAAAAGAACUUUGGAAAGAGAGUUAAACAGUACGUGAAAUUGCUGAAAGGGAAACGCUUGAAGUCAGUCGCGUUGGCCGGGGAUCAGCCUUGCAUCUGCUUGGUGUAUUUUCCGGUUGACGGGUCAGCAUCAAUUUUGAUCGCUGGAAAAAGGUUAGAGGAAUGUGGCAGCUUCGGCUGUGUUAUAGCCUCUGGUCACAUACAGCGGUUGGGAUUGAGGAACUCAGCACGCCGAAAGGCCGGGUUUCGACCACGUUCGUGCUUAGGAUGCUGGCAUAAUGGCUUUAAGCGACCCGUCUUGAAACACGGACCAAGGAGUCUAACAUGCCUGCGAGUGUUUGGGUGGUAAACCCGAGCGCGUAAUGAAAGUGAAAGUUGAGAUCCCUGUCGUGGGGAGCAUCGACGCCCGGACCAGAACUUUUGGGACGGAUCCGCGGUAGAGCAUGUAUGUUGGGACCCGAAAGAUGGUGAACUAUGCCUGAAUAGGGUGAAGCCAGAGGAAACUCUGGUGGAGGCUCGUAGCGAUUCUGACGUGCAAAUCGAUCGUCAAAUUUGGGUAUAGGGGCGAAAGACUAAUCGAACCAU